UACGUAGGGGGCAAGCGUUGUCCGGAUUUAUUGGGCGUAAAGAGCGUGUAGGCGGCCUUACAGGUCAGCUGUGAAAACUCGAGGCUCAACCUCGAGACGUCGGUUGAAACCGUAUGGCUAGAGUCCGGAAGAGGAGAGUGGAAUUCCCGGUGUAGCGGUGAAAUGCGCAGAUAUCGGGAAGAACACCCGUGGCGAAGGCGGCUCUCUGGGGACGGUACUGACGCUGAGACGCGAAAGCG
rnacentral:rRNA from 1 species